rnacentral:lncRNA from 1 species
GGCAAUUGUUCCAGCUCUCACUCAGCUAGAGCUGCCACGCAUUCUACAUGGCAAGGCUGCGUCCUGAAUCAGAAGUCGGGCUGGGAGCUGCCGUGCUGCCGCUCCCUUUCUGCACCCCAUUAUACACGUCGGCUGCGUGAGGGACACCUGGAACUUAUCACAGACUGCAAUUAGACGUCUGCGAACCAACUGCGCUGCAUCAGCCCCACUUCCAAAACUUCUCACCAGUGCUGCCGGCUUCACGCAAGGUCACACUGCCACCUCUGGAUCGCAAAACUCAGCUCUUCAAUGUGUUGCUGGUGGGACUUGAGUUGACUGCAAUGACUCCUCUUUGCCUCCUCAAGCUCUUGGUACUGACAGAAAGACAAAAGAGAGCUGGCAAUCAAUACUGGUAGCAUAGGCAGCAGAGGAGCCUUGCCUCUGUUUCCAAAGUAAAGUAGACUAACUUUAGAAAAGUC